GGGCCCGCACAAGCGGUGGAGCAUGUGGUUUAAUUCGAUGAUACGCGAGGAACCUUACCAGGGCUUAAAUGUAGUCUGACAGGACUGGAAACAGUUUUUUCUUCGGACUCAUUACAAGGUGCUGCAUGGUUGUCGUCAGCUCGUGCCGUGAGGUGUCAGGUUAAGUCCUAUAACGAGCGCAACCCCUAUCGUUAGUUGCCAGCGGGUCAUGCCGGGAACUCUAGCGAAACUGCCGGUGCAAACCGAGAGGAAGGUGGGGAUGACGUCAAAUCAUCACGGCCCUUACGUCCUGGCCACACACGUGCUACAAUGGCCGGUACAGAGAGCAGCCACUACGCGAGUAGGAGCG
rnacentral:rRNA from 1 species